UGGCUCAGAUUGAACGCUGGCGGAAUGCUUUACACAUGCAAGUCGAGCGGCAGCGCGGGGCAACCUGGCGGCGAGCGGCGAACGGGUGAGUAACAUAUCGGAACGUAUCCUUGAGUGGGGGACAACUAGUCGAAAGACUAGCUAAUACCGCAUACGCUCGAGAGAGGAAAGUGGGGGACCGCAAGGCCUCACGCUGAAGGAGCGGCCGAUAUCAGAUUAGCUAGAUGGUGAGGUAAAGGCUUACCAUGGCGACGAUCUGUAGCUGGUCUGAGAGGAUGAUCAGCCACACUGGGACUGAGACACGGCCCAGACUCCUACGGGAGGCAGCAGUGGGGAAUUUUGGACAAUGGGGGCAACCCUGAUCCAGCCAUUCCGCGUGAGUGAAGAAGGCCUUCGGGUUGUAAAGCUCUUUUGUUCGGGACGAAACGGUUAAGGCUAAUAACCUUGACUAAUGACGGUACCGGAAGAAUAAGCACCGGCUACUACUUCAGACACCCC
rnacentral:rRNA from 1 species